rnacentral:lncRNA from 1 species
CUUGCAUUGCUGUGGCUAUGGUGUAUGCCAGCAGCUGUAGCUCUGAUUCAACCCCUAGCCUGGGAAUUUCCAUAUGCCAUGAGAUAUAAUCCUCUCUCCCAGCCCCGCUUUAUUAUUCUGCCCACUGGGUGGGGCAUUGAGCCGGACCCUCCACUUAGGGUGACUUACCCCUUGCCUAUUCCGGGUGCGUAUCCAGUUCUGCUAAGAGAAUGGCAAAACCUUUCUCUCUUUAGCAAAUUAUUUUCCAGUUACUUUUCCCAGAGUUACGUAUUUUGCCUCUAUAUGUAAAUUUAGCCAACAUAAUAACAUGAAUUGUAAAAUUCCUAGUAACCACUCUAGCCUACAGUAGGAUUAAACAAAUCUUAAUUUCCACAAUGUUGUUUUUUUCUAUAGAUUAUUGAUCAGCAGUUUUCUUAGAGAAUAGUCUAUCUAAAUUUCUAGAUAACCUACUCAUUAACUCUUAAAUAAAUAUAAUCUAGGUAAAGGGUGAAUUAAAUCUAAAGUCCUAUCCAUUGAUCAUCUCCUGGAAUGAAUGAACUUUUAGCCUCCCAGAGACAAGUCUUAGUUGACUUUAGGCUCUACAGGGCUAUUGGCAUGCCUCAUGUACACAGUGUGAAUUUGUUAGUGACGACAAUGUUAUGAUAAUAAAAUUAUCUACUUGAGUAGUAACCUCAUUUUAUGAAUCACAGUGACACUUUGCCAGAUUCAAACGAAGCAGACUAGUCAGCUGGCUCACCUCUGCAUGUGACCUACAAUCUGUUCUUAUUCCUAAAACCAGAGGUGGCACAUAUAGGAAUCCUGUUCUUAAUUAGGCAUGUACUUCACAACGUGGCCGCCAUGCAUAUACAUCCAAAAUGAUAAUUAUUCUGAACCAUUCAUUACAGCUGGACAAACUACACUAUCCAGAGCUGUGAAGGGUCUUGGAAUGUUGAAUGGAAACUCAAUCUAUGGUUUUAAUCUGUGUGUGCCUCAUUUCUCUUAGUCAGUAAAACAAGACUGAUAAUAGUAUGUACUUUAUAGUGUUGAUGGGAGGAUUAAGAGUUAAACUGUGUGGGGCACUGGGACAGUUCGGGUGUACAGUGGGAACUGUAUGGUGUUUGUAGCCAUGAUAAGGAUUCCUAGGAAAAUGUGUAGUCCUCUAAAAGGGAAGCUGCCUCUGACCCAAUUAUAAUCCCACUUGCUUUCCCAGGUCAUAACUGUGAAAACCGGGUCUUUGAGAAUCACAGGCUUCUCUGGCUCCAACCCAACACAUUUUUCUUUUCCAGUUAGAAAAUUUCUGGAGUUUUCCUUUGAUAACAACCUGUGGAUUGAAUCAGUAGUCUUCAAAGCAGUAGCUCCUGAUUUUGGGAAUCAGGGCACCGUCUGAAAGUCUGAUGAAUCUCCAGACUCUCUCCCAAGAAAAAAUGUACAUAUAAAAGUUCGCAUUCCCUUUCAUGGGGGGUUCAUAACACCUCUCUAGGGUCAUUCAUGGACCCCAGAUUAAGAAUCAAUGUUUGAAAGCAUGGCUUAGAAAAGAGCUACCUUUGGAUCUUGUUCUUAACAAUGUCUGAAACAAAAGGAGAUAGAAACACAUACUUGCCCAUUGUAAAGAAGUAUUAAUGACUGUUAGGGGUUUUGAUGAAUGAAGGGUUUGAUGAGGAUGAAGAUGACGAAGAAGGAAAUGAAGAGGAGAACAAGAGGAGGAGGAGUCCCCCCAAAAGGAUCAAGGUUGGUAAACAACGUACGCUUUUACCUUUAAGUGUGCCAAGCCACGCUUCCAUCUUUAAGUGUGCCAAGCCACGCUUCCAUCUUUAAGUGUGCCAAGCCUGCAGCCAUGUUUGCAACUGGAAAGUACUUACCAGUGGCUCUGGAGGCAGUUUGAGUAACCAGUUGUAUCUAAAGCUUUCUUUCAAAGCUCAAACAGGUAAAAUAUUAUCACUGGGGCUCUUCACACCCAUUCAGUGACUCAGACAGAAAAGAAAUGCUAACUAGGAGAACUGAGCUGUGAAUGUGGAGUGACCCCGAGGGACAAAAUGAUUAUCUGGUUGUCUUAGGUUUCGGGGAAAUUUAUUAGGGGGUUUUAAGAUUACAUUGACUGAUUUUUACCUUAAGUGCUCCAACUGGAGAAGCAUUAAAGUCUCAUGAUAAGGAGCAAUUUCAAAGAGUUAAUGGCAUCAGCCAGAUCUUUUUGGUGAGUCAGGGGUACUGAAAGGCGAAAAGCACAAGUGAGGACCAUGUCUCCAGCAGGCGGUGUGAUGGGCUUGCCACUUUGACUGGGGCUCACUAGGGCCCCUACUCUUCUCCUGUUUCCAAGUGACAAACACCAGGACCAAAGAGGAAGAAUAAUAUAUUUACAGCAAAGGUCAUAGAAUGAGGCCAAGGACCUGGUUACAUUUCUGCCCCAUUAUGGUCUCAGAUUGCACCUCUGCCUCUAAAAGCCAAACAUCUGGGAGUUCCCAUUGUGGCUCAGCAGUAACAAAUCUGAUUAGUAUCCAGGAGGACCAGGGUUCGAUCCCUGGCCUCUCUCAGUGGGUUAAGGACCUGGCAUUGCUGUGAGCUGUGGUGUAGGCUGGCAGCUGCAGUUCCGAUUCAACCCCUAGCCUGAGAACUUCCAUAUGCCGCAGGUGGACCCCUAAAAAGACAAAAAUAAAAAUAAAUAAAUAAAUAAAUAAAUCCAAACAUCUUCUCAUUGUAUGCAAUGAGUGACAAGCUUACCUCUGCUCACCUUUGUUCCUUCAUCCCCUCCCAUCUCCCCAUCUCACCUUGCCCCAGUCCCAAGGCCAUCUCUUUGUUCUUGGACUAUCCCAAGUUCAUCCCUGGCUCAGGGCUUCUGUAUUUAUUGUUGCCUCUGCCAGGAACAUUCCUUCUCUAGAUAUUUUCAUGGCUGACUCAUUCUCAUUCUGAUGUUUAGGUCUUAGUUCAGCUGGCAACUUUCUGUCCCCUGCCUUGUCACUUUCCUCCAUAUUAUCCUGUAUUAUUUAUAGCACUUGUCACUCUCUGAAAAAAAACCUCUUGAUCUGUUUUCUUCUUACUGUCUGUCUUUCCAUUAGAAUGUGAGCACCAUACAAGCCGGGAUCCUCUGUCUUGACCUCUGCUGUACCCUCCCCACCGCCCCCACCACCCCAAGUCUUCUUAGCACACAGAAGCACUAGAUAUACAUUUGUUGGAUAAAGGAAUGGAUGAUCAUCAUAAUAGUGACACUUACUGAGCUUUUCCUCUGUGCCAGGCACAGGGCUGCAAAUUUUUACAAAUACCAUCUCACAGAGUUCUCACAGCCACCGUCCAAGCUAGGUAUCUCUCUCUUAUCCCCACGGCACAGGUUAGGUUUCAGAGGGGUUGUGUGGCUUUUCUAAUGUCAAAGCUGCCAAGUGACCAAGACCUGAUCUGAACCAAGGUAUGUUUGUCUCCAACACUCACACUCUUAAAUCAGGAAUCAGCACACUUAUUUUUCUGUAAAGGACCAGGUAGUAAAUGUUAAAGACUUUGGGAGCCAUAUGGUCUCUGUUGCAAAUACUCAGCUCUGUUGUAGAAAGAAGCCAUGACAAUGCAUCAACAAAGGGAUGUGGCAGUGUGCCAACACAACUCUAUUUACAAGGGGUGGGCAGGAUUUGGCCCAGCGGCCAUAAUUUGCAGAUCCCUCCUGUAUGUCAUCAUUCUAUCUAGACUUUGCUAAAAGAGGGUU